rnacentral:rRNA from 2 species
AACGCUGGCGGCGUGCCUAAUACAUGCAAGUCGAACGAGUUCUGAUUAUUGAAAGGUGCUUGCAUCUUGAUUUAAUUUUGAACGAGUGGCGGACGGGUGAGUAACACGUGGGUAACCUGCCCUUAAGUGGGGGAUAACAUUUGGAAACAGAUGCUAAUACCGCAUAAAUCCAAGAACCGCAUGGUUCUUGGCUGAAAGAUGGCCGUAAGCUAUCGCUUUUGGAUGGACCCGCGGCGUAUUAGCUAGUUGGUGAGGUAACGGCUCACCAAGGCAAUGAUACGUAGCCGAACUGAGAGGUUGAUCGGCCACAUUGGGACUGAGACACGGCCCAAACUCCUACGGGAGGCAGCAGUAGGGAAUCUUCCACAAUGGACGCAAGUCUGAUGGAGCAACGCCGCGUGAGUGAAGAAGGCUUUCGGGUCGUAAAACUCUGUUGUUGGAGAAGAAUGGUCGGCAGAGUAACUGUUGUCGGCGUGACGGUAUCCAACCAGAAAGCCACGGCUAACUA